UACGUAGGGGACGAGCGUUGUCCGGAAUUACUGGGCGUAAAGGGCGCGCAGGCGGUAUAUCAAGUCAGCUGUCAAAGACUGGGGCUCAACCCUGGUAUGCGGUUGAAACUGAUAUGCUGGAGUGCUGUAGAGGCAAGUGGAAUUCCCAGUGUAGCGGUGAAAUGCGUAGAUAUUGGGAAGAACACCGGUGGCGAAGGCGUCUUUCUGGCCAGUUACUGACGCUCAUGCGCGAAAGCUGGGGUAGCGAACCGGAUUAGAUACCCCCGUA
rnacentral:rRNA from 1 species